AUCCGAGCAAUGGGCGUGGGAAACAUUCAAUUCACUCCCCAUGAUAAUGGAUGCAUACUCGGACCAAGAGAGAUCGCAGCUGGCGCUGAUCCAGAGAUUCCUAGCUGGGGGGUUCAGUUUAAGCGACCAUCCCCCUUAUCAAUCCCCACCUCGGUGUACAGAUUCUUAUGCAGACGCCAUGAAAGAUCUCCAUCAGCUUCCUUGGCUCGAGAGGUUUGUUUCCGUUAUAAGUGAUAACUACUACGAAGAAUAUAUCCAGUGAAUUAUAGGACUUCUGAAAUUGGAAAAUAAUCUGCACAGCUACCCGAGAAUACCUUUCAUAGGAGUAAAGAGUGUCUCGCUCUAUUCACUGCGGAGAUUUAUGUGCCUCUUUUCCUUUGUAGUUUCAUAAGCAUUGUGUUAAAGAGAUAUGCGGCCGUUAAAAAGCACCUUGUGUAAAACAUAGGAGGGCAAGCGUCCAUGUACUUUGCUGAUAGGCGAUAGCUUUCUUCUUGAAAGAAAAGAGGGAAAAAAAAGAUAGUGUAUUGAAUUGAAAUAACAUUUAUCAUGUUAUUGAAUUGAAAAAAUAUUUUCCGUUUAAGAUGCUCUGAGAUGAAAAACACUAAAUAUUCAUCAAAGUAAGAGUGAUAUCAUUUUUUUUCUAGUGACAAUGUAAAUAAAGCCAGCAAUGUUUUAUGGCACGGAAUGUUGGAUGGUCAAGUAUCGACACGUACAAAAAAUGAGUGUAACGGGGAUGAGAAUGUUUCGUCGGAUGUAUAGGCUCACGAGAAAGGACAAGAUUAAGAACGAGGAUAUUCAAGAUAAAGUAGGAGUAACCGCAAUUGAAGAUAAGAUGAGAGAAAAUCAAUUAAGGCGGUUGGGACAUGUGAACCGAAGACUCACAAAUGCUCCGGUUAGAACAUGCGAUUACAAGAUAGAUGCUUAGGGCAAAAGAGGUAGAGGAAGACCUAGAAAGACCUGAAAAGAGACUUGAAGAAAAGAUCAAAUGUAUUUGGAGAUAACAUAAAACUUGAUGCAAAAUCGAGUACAAUGACGUUCUAAGAUUCAUAUAACCGAUUUCAUUUAGUCGGAUAAAGCUUUGUUAUCUUGUUGUUGACAUUGUAAAUGCUCGUUUUCCAAGCAAACUUAGUGUAAAUGAGCUGUGUACGAGCUUUAUCAGCCGAACAACCAAAGCUCAAGUUUGGGUUGUUUCCUGAACAAGCAAAAGCUUAGAUGAACCAAAUCCACUCCAAAUUAAAUACAAAUUCGAGCUAUUUCGAGCCAAUUUACUUUGUAUUCAUAUGCAAUGAGCAUAGUUGUCCCAUUUUGUAUGAUAGAAACCCUCUUUGUCAUGUAUGUUUUUUAAGUAAAUGGGAAAGAGACCACACUCACCCCCACUUAUGAUACGAACCAAAUCCACUCCAAAUUCAAUACAAAUUCGAGCUAUUUCGAGCCAAUUUACAUUGUAUUCAUAUGCAAUGAGCAUAGUUGUCCCAUUAUGUAUGAUAGAAACCCUCUUUGUCAUGUAUGUUUUUUAAGUAAAUGGGAAAAAGACCACACUCACCCACCACUUAUGAUACGAACCAAAUCCACUCCAAAUUCAAUACAAAUUCGAGCUAUUUCGAGCCAAUUUACAUUGUAUUCAUAUGCAAUGAGCAUGGUUGUCCCAUUUUGUAUGAUAGAAACCCUCUUUGUCAUGUAUGUUUUUUAAGUAAAUGGGAAAGAGACCACACUCACCCACCACUUAUGAUUGUCCGGGUGGUGGUUGUGGUGGUGUUUGGUUUUGCAAGAGGACACGUUGCAUUUUGGAUAAGGGGAGUUUCAAUCAAGGUCACCACCCCAACAUGUUUAAUGGAACUUACGUGCUUAAGUGGCUUCAAUUCAAACCUACUACCAAUUACACAUGGAAAUUUGGUGUUCGUUGGCUUUUUUUGGACUUAGCUUUUUGCUAACCUUGUUCAAGCAUGGCUAGGCUUGUUCUCAAGAAUCGAAAAUGGCCCGUUGGGCUUCACUUUGUUUAGUAUUUUUCAACUUCUUACGAUUAGAUAUAAUCAUAUUCUCUUACAUAAAUCCUAAAAGUUUGAUAACUUUCAUCAAAUGGUUUAACGAUUUCUAAUUUGAUUGAUUUUUUAUUACAUGGUUGAUCUCUAAAGAACGACCUAGAAAUUAGACGAUUCUACAAUGAAAAGAAUAACCGAAAAGAUAAAACAAGAAGAUUCGAGUAUAAUUUAAAACAAAUUUUUUUAUUGAUUUUUAAAGUUGAAAUAUAGACAUGUUGGUAAGAAUGUUUUGAUUAUAUUACACGUACUAUUGCAUUUAACACAUCUUCAUGUGUGUUAUUGUGCCAAAAAAUGUUCUUUGUAUGCUUUGAACCAAUUUGUUUGAUUUUCUUGGAAACUUGUUGCUUGCCUCUGAGGGAGAGUACAAUCUUUAUGACAAAAAUGAUUUGAUUUUCAGAUUGUAGUCGGUAAUUAUGAUCUUAAACAGUUUUUAGCUCGUGGGAAUAUUUAUUUUAAUGAAGCAACAUAUGUUGUGAGUAGGUUACUGAUAGAGGCAUGCACAUGCUCAAGAAUGUGAUGAUGGUAGGCAUAGACAAUAUCGACUCAAUGUGUCACAUGAAAUAGGUAGAACCUGUUUAAUAAUUUCAGGUCUCUGGCUUUCUUUUUUGUAUGUGGGCAACAUGAUGGAGUGCCUCAAUAUGUCACGUGAAAUAGGUGGAACCUGCUUAAUAAUUUCAGGCCUCAUUUUUGUACGUGGGCAACAUGAUAGAGUGAUUCUAACUUGUUGAGAAUUCUCCCCCCUCUCACUCUCCUCAGGACCCCGGGGGGACAAACUGGUGUUGACCUAUGCCUGGGGGCAAAUGCGUAUGAUGAGACCUCUAGGAGAUAGUCGUACACGCCUAUGAAUAAAAAGCUGAUGAAUUUAAGACUUUGUUGGUUUUUUAUUGUAUCAUUGUGUAACUAUUUGAAUAAGAAAUCAGUACGUCCUGUUCCAUUACAAAUUGUUGAAUAUUUACUGAGCUUUUCGUGUCCCUCAUUUUUCAGGUGUGGGCAUGAGUUCUGUUAUUCUUGUGGUGCUGAAUAUCGGGAUAGCCAACAGACUUGUCAAUGUGCCUUUUGGGACGAAGACAACACCACCAUAGAAGACUUGGUCACUCAGUCUAUGCAAGAAUCCGAGCAAUGGGCGUGGGAAACAUUCAAUUCACUCCCCAUGAUAAUGGAUGCAUACUCGGACCAAGAGAGAUCGCAGCUGGCGCUGAUCCAGAGAUUCCUAGAUUGGGGGGGGGGUUUCAGUUUAAACCAUCCCCCUUAUCAAUCCCCACCUCGGUGUACAGAUUCUUAUGUAGACGCCAUGAAAGAUCUCCAUCCGCUUCCUUGGCUCGAGAGGUUUGUUUUCGUUAUAAGUGAUAACUACUACAAAAUUAUAUUUGCUAUGUGGAAUUUAUGAGUCAAAUAAUCGAAAGAAAUUAGA
rnacentral:lncRNA from 1 species